UACGGGGGGAGCAAGCGUUGUCCGGAUUUACUGGGCGUAAAGGAUGCGUAGGCGGACAUUUAAGUCAGAUGUGAAAUACCCGAGCUUAACUUGGGUGCUGCAUUUGAAACUGGGUGUCUAGAGUGCAGGAGAGGUAAGUGGAAUUCCUAGUGUAGCGGUGAAAUGCGUAGAGAUUAGGAAGAACACCAGUGGCGAAGGCGACUUACUGGACUGUAACUGACGCUGAGGCAUGAAAGCGUGGGGAGCAAACAGG
rnacentral:rRNA from 1 species